GAUGAAGAACGCAGUGAAAUGCGAUAAGUAGUGUGAAUUGCAGAAUUCAGUGAAUCAUCGAAUCUUUGAACGCACAUUGCGCCCCUUGGUACUCCAUGGGGCAUGCCUGUUCGAGCGUCAUUUACACCCUCAAGCUCAGCUUGGUGUUGGGCGUCUGUCCCGCUUCGUGCGCGGACUCGCCUCAAAUGCAUUGGCAGCGGUCUUACCAGCUUCUCGCGCAGCACAUUGCGCUUCUAGAGGCUUUGGCGGAUCGGCGUCCAUCAAGUACACCCACAGUUUGACCUCGGAUCAGGUAGGGAUACCCGCUGAACUUAAGCAUAUCAAUAAGCGGAGGA
rnacentral:misc_RNA from 1 species